rnacentral:rRNA from 1 species
NAACCAACAGGGAUUGCCUCAGUAACGGCGAGUGAAGCGGCAAAAGCUCAAAUUUGAAAUCUAACACUUUCAGUGUUCGAGUUGUAAUUUGAAGAAAGUUUCUCUGAGUAGUCCUUUAUCUAUGUUCCUUGGAACAGGACGUCAUAGAGGGUGAGAAUCCCGUAUGAUUUUGGAUACUAUUCUUUGUGAGAUUCUUUCGAAGAGUCGAGUUGUUUGGGAAUGCAGCUCUAAGUGGGUGGUAAAUUCCAUCUAAAGCUAAAUAUUGGCGAGAGACCGAUAGCGAACAAGUACAGUGAUGGAAAGAUGAAAAGAACUCUGAAGAGAGAGUGAAAAAGUACGUGAAAUUGCUGAAAGGGAAGGGCUUUAGGUCAGACUUGGUGUUUAAUGAUUAUCUUCUCUUUUUGAGUUGUGCACUCGUUUUUCACUGGGCCAAUAUCAGUUUUUGUGGUAGAGCACCUAUUGGAAUGUAGCUUUUCUUCGGAUGAGUGUUAUAGCCUUUAGACGAUCUAUUUACGGAGACUGAGGACUGCGCGUUAUGCUAGGAUAUUGGCGUAAUGACCUUAAGCCGC